rnacentral:rRNA from 1 species
UACGAAGGGGGCUAGCGUUGUUCGGAAUUACUGGGCGUAAAGCGCACGUAGGCGGACAUUUAAGUCAGGGGUGAAAUCCUGGAGCUCAACUCCAGAACUGCCUUUGAUACUGAGAAGCUCGAGUCCGGGAGAGGUGAGUGGAACUGCGAGUGUAGAGGUGAAAUUCGUAGAUAUUCGCAAGAACACCAGUGGCGAAGGCGGCUCACUGGCCCGGUACUGACGCUGAGGUGCGAAAGCGUGGGGAGCGAACAGG